rnacentral:misc_RNA from 1 species
AUAUUUUGAAUUAAGUAUAUUCAUAAUAUGUUAUCAGACGAAUGUUGUUAAAGAUAUAGGUUGGUGUAGGUGUUUCUCCGAAAAGAAACACAACAUUGCACACAAGGUGAGUACUAUUUUUAAAAAGUGCAGUAGAACACUUAUUAUGAAUGAUCCUUCCGCAGGUUCACCUACGGAAA